AUGGACAAGGGUCACCCAGGGUACUCCAAGUACAUGAUCGACGCUAAGCUCCAGGAGCAGGGGUUCUUUGCUUCCCAGCACUGCGCCAACUGCGGCCAUGAGCUCCACCACAAGCCGAAGGACAUGGUUGGGUUUCCUGCCGGUGUCAAAUUCGAUCCGACGGACCAGGAGCUGAUUGAGCACCUUGAGUCCAAGGUGAUGAAGAGAGCUCACUCCCUCAUCGAUGACUUCAUACCCACCAUUGAGGGAGAAGAUGGCAUUUGCUACACCCAUCCAGAGAAACUCCCAGGUGUGACCAGAAAUGGCCAGAGCAAACACUUUUUCCACAGACCAUCAAAGGCCUACACCACAGGCACGAGGAAGAGGAGAAAGAUCCACGCAGAGACUGAGUUAUCCAACAGUAAAAAUGGUGCCGAGACGCGGUGGCACAAGACUGGCAAGACACGGCCGCUGAUGGUGGGCGGACAGCACAAGGGGUGCAAGAAGAUCCUAGUCUUGUACAUCAACUUCGGCAAGACACGAAAGGCAGAGAAGACUAAUUGGGUGAUGCACCAGUACCACCUCGGCGACCUAGAGGACGAGAAGGAAGGGGAGUUGAUUGUAUCAAAGGUCUUCUAUCAGACACAGCCACGGCAGACUGCCGCUGCCACAACAUCGACAGUAUUGCGUGAGCCUUCAACUAACGGCAAUAUGGAGGUAAAGAUGCCAAAGUCAAUGAAGAUUGGGCUCACUGAUCAUGCGGUUGCCGCUGCGGCUGCCAUCCAGAUGCAGCGACAGCAGCAGCAAUUGCUGAAGCAAGGUGAUGAGAUGAAAAAGGGAAAGGAGGGGCAGGACCAGCUGCAGCAGAAAUUUGACCACAGGCCUGCUGGCUUGGAAGGACUAAUAAUGGCCUGCAAAUCAGCAAGUACAAAAGAAGGAACUUCAACUACUCAGCCCGAAGAUGAGCAAUGGCCUUACCAGUACUAG
rnacentral:rRNA from 1 species